UCAUGUCAUUUGAUAAAUAUUUCUACGUCAGCAUACUUAAAUAAACGUAGAAUUCAGAUCCUCGUAAUCUUUCACAAUAUUGCGUCAAUAUUGUGUCAAAGAUAUUGAUGAUAUAUCAUUUUGUAUCGGUUCACAAUGCGACAUAACAUUUUGAGAUCUCAUCACUUCAUUAUUUUCAGAUACAUGAACCUCUCAUAAGGUUUCAUGAAGUGGUAUGUUGUAGGCUCUUC
rnacentral:lncRNA from 1 species